rnacentral:rRNA from 1 species
UGGGGAAUUUUGGACAAUGGGCGCAAGCCUGAUCCAGCCAUGCCGCGUGAGUGAAGAAGGCCUUCGGGUUGUAAAGCUCUUUCGGCCGGAACGAAAUCGACCAAGCUAAUACCUUGGUCGGAUGACGGUACCGGAAGAAGAAGCACCGGCUAACUACGUGCCAGCAGCCGCGGUAAUACGUAGGGUGCAGGCGUUAAUCGGAAUUACUGGGCGUAAAGCGUGCGCAGGCGGCCUCCUAAGUCAGAUGUGAAAUCCCCGGGCUCAACCUGGGAACUGCGUUUGAAACUGGGAGGCUAGAGUGCGGCAGAGGGAGGUGGAAUUCCACGUGUAGCAGUGAAAUGCGUAGAUAUGUGGAGGAACACCGAUGGCGAAGGCAGCCUCCUGGGCCAGCACUGACGCUCAUGCACGAAAGCGUGGGGAGCAAA